rnacentral:rRNA from 1 species
ACAAACCGGAGGAAGGUGGGGAUGACGUCAAGUCAUCAUGGCCCUUACGGCCUGGGCUACACACGUGCUACAAUGGUCGGUACAAAGGGUUGCCAAGCCGCCGAGGUGGAGCUAAUCCCAUAAAACCGAAUCGUAGUCCGGAUCGCAGUCUGCAACUCGACUGCGUGAAGUCGGAAUCGCUAGUAAUCGUGAAUCAGAAUGUCACGGUGAAUACGUUCCCGGGCCUU